rnacentral:rRNA from 1 species
UCAACCCCUGUGAACAUACCACUUGUUGCCUCGGCGGAUCAGCCCGCUCCCGGUAAAACGGGACGGCCCGCCAGAGGACCCCUAAACUCUGUUUCUAUAUGUAACUUCUGAGUAAAACCAUAAAUAAAUCAAAACUUUCAACAACGGAUCUCUUGGUUCUGGCAUCGAUGAAGAACGCAGCAAAAUGCGAUAAGUAAUGUGAAUUGCAGAAUUCAGUGAAUCAUCGAAUCUUUGAACGCACAUUGCGCCCGCCAGUAUUCUGGCGGGCAUGCCUGUUCGAGCGUCAUUUCAACCCUCAAGCACAGCUUGGUGUUGGGACUCGCGUUAAUUCGCGUUCCUCAAAUUGAUUGGCGGUCACGUCGAGCUUCCAUAGCGUAGUAGUAAAACCCUCGUUACUGGUAAUCGUCGCGGCCACGCCGUUAAACCCCAACUUCUGAAUGUUGACCUCGGAUCAGGUAGGAAUACCCGCUGAACUUAAGCAUAUCAAA